AUUGAACGCUGGCGGCAGGCCUAACACAUGCAAGUCGAACGAGUGGCGGACGGGUGAGUAAUGUAUGGGAAACUGCCCGAUGGCGGGGGAUAACUACUGGAAACGGUAGCUAAUACCGCAUACCAUCGGAUGUGCCCAGAUGGGAUUAGCUAGUAGGUGGGGUAACGGCUCACCUAGGCGACGAUCCAUAGCUGGUAUGAGAGGAUGACCAGCCACACUGGAACUGAGACACGGUCCAGACUCCUACGGGAGGCAGCAGUGGGGAAUAUUGGACAAUGGGCGAAAGCCUGAUGCAGCCAUGCCGCGUGUAUGAAGAAGGCCUUCGGUUUGUAAAGUACUUUCAGCUAGGAGGCGUUACUCGCAGAAGAAGCACCGGCUAACUCCGUGCCAGCAGCCGCGGUAAUUC
rnacentral:rRNA from 1 species